AUGUCUCCUGCCUCCGCGCGCGCCCUCACCGUCGACUCCCUAAACCCAAAGGUGCUGGCGCUCGCGGAUCACCUCCGGGGCGCCGUGGCCGGCCGCGCGCAGCGCAUGCAGAAAGAGCUAGAAACUAAUCCGGGUCUAUACCCUUUCGAUGAGAUAAUCUAUUGCAACCUUAGCAAUCCACAUUACCUCGGACAACAGCCAAUUAAGUUUUUCCGUGAGGUUCUUGCCUUGUGUGAUUACCCGCAUCUUCUGAACUGCAGUGUAACUAGUUCCAUAUUCAGUUCUGAUGCAAUAACAAGGGCGAGGGAGAUUCUAGACCUCAUUCCUGGGAGAGCAAUGGGAGGAUACAGCCACUGUCAGGGUACCGAAGGGUUGCGGAAUGCAAUUGCUGUUGGAAUAGCCACUCGUGAUGCUUUCCCAUGCAAUGCAGAGGACAUUUUCCUGACAGAUGGAGCAGCUGCGCCGGUUCAUAUGGUAAUGCACCUGUUGAUACGAGAUGAAAAAGAUGGCAUCCUUUGCCCGAUUCCAUCACAUUUCCUGUAUACAAGCUCAAUGGCUCUGUGUGGUGCAACUCUUGUACCGUAUUACCUUGACGAAUCAGGAGGUUGGGCCGUGAGUAUUUCGGACCUGAAGAAGCAGCUGGAUGGUGCCCGAUCUGAGGGCAUCACUGUUAGGGGACUUGUGGUUGUAAAUCCAGGCAACCCUACUGGACAGGUUCUUGUGAAGGAAAACCAGUGUGAAAUAGUGGAAUUCUGCAGGAUUGAAAACCUUGUUCUUCUAGCAGAUGAGGUUUACCAAGAAAAUGUUUACACAGAUGAAAAGAGAUUUAUCUCUUUCAAGAAGAUAGCACGGUCCAUGGGUUUUGGUGAAGAAGAUAUUUCUUUAAUAUCAUUCCAUUCAGUUUCUAAUGGAUACUAUGGAGAAUGUGGGAGAAGAGGGGGUUACAUGGAGGUCACUGGCUUCAAUUCUGAAGUUCGGAAACAAGUAUACAAAGUGGCAUCCCUAAGCUCAUGCUCCAACUUAGCCGGCCAGGUUCUCGUGAGCCUAGUCAUGAACCCACCAAAGGUUGGAGAUGAGUCAUACACCUCUUACUGGGAAGAAAGAGAUCGCAUUAUGUUAUCAUUAUCCCGAUGUGCAGAGGCCAUGGUGCAGGCAUUCAACAGCCUGGAAGGCCUGACUUGCAGCAAGGCUGAAGGGGCAAUGUUUGUAUUCCCAUCUGUUCGGCUGCCUAAAAGGGCAAUUGCGGCUGCUGAGGCAAUGAACACCAAGCCAGAUGUGUUCUAUGCUCUCCGCCUUCUUGAAAACACUGGCAUCGUCCUCUUACCUGGCUCUGUGUUUGGACAAGUACCUGGCACAUGGCAUUUCAGAUGCACAAUCCUGCAACAGGAGGAGAAAAUACAACUAAUCAUCAAUCGCUUUAAGGCGUUCCAUGAAACUUUCAUGGAAGAAUUUCGCGAUUAA
rnacentral:rRNA from 1 species